GCCUCGUUAGCUCAGUUGGUAGAGCGUUAGACUUUUAAUCUAACGGUCAGGGUUUCGAGUCCCCUACGGGGAC
rfam:Angiostrongylus cantonensis strain Taiwan genome assembly, scaffold: ACAC_scaffold0004639